UCCCAUAUGGUUCAGUGGUUAGGAUUUGUCGCUUUCACCGCCAAGGCACGGGUUCAAUUCCCGGUGUGAGAA
rnacentral:tRNA from 1 species